CCUACGGGAGGCUGCAGUGAGGAAUAUUGGUCAAUGGGAGAGAUCCUGAACCAGCCAAGCCGCGUGAGGGAAGACGGCCCUAUGGGUUGUAAACCUCUUUUGUCGGAGAACAAAACCCGGGACGUGUCCCGGACUGCGUGUAUCCGAAGAAAAAGCAUCGGCUAACUCCGUGCCAGCAGCCGCGGUAAUACGGAGGAUGCGAGCGUUAUCCGGAUUUAUUGGGUUUAAAGGGUGCGUAGGCGGUCCGUUAAGUCAGCGGUAAAAUUGCGGGGCUCAACCCCGUCGAGCCGUUGAAACUGGCAGACUUGAGUUGGCGAGAAGUACGCGGAAUGCGCGGUGUAGCGGUGAAAUGCAUAGAUAUCGCGCAGAACUCCGAUUGCGAAGGCAGCGUACCGGCGCCAGACUGACGCUGAGGCUCGAAAGCAUGGGUAGCGAACAGGAUUAGAUACCCCAGUAGUC
rnacentral:rRNA from 1 species